UUCCGUCACUUGCUUAAACCAGUCACGUAGAUUGUUUUCACAUUUGAGUUAUCACAUUUUUCGAUUUCAGAAAGUUCUUGAAUAUUGCAAGUUUAAGUACAAUCCGUAUCCUGGAAUGUUUCUCAACGUCUUGCUGGUACUUGCUGCAGAUACUCUUUUGGUUGAUUGUAAAAAUAUAACGAAUGGUUACCUUAUACUUCUCCAAUUUAGGUGACUGCUUGGGCUGGAUGGUUAAGGACGGCGAUUCUUGGCUUCAUCAGCAGCAAUCUGCUUGGAAUUUGCCCAAUUUACCUGAAUGAAGACAGUCCAAACAAAAGGAGCUCAGGGGUUUCUUCAUUGUUUGCCUCCUCACUUGGAGAGCUUGCUUUUCACUCAAUACUCAUAUCUGGAAGAAAAGCACUCUGCUUCUUAUGGAGUUGGGAUUAAGGCCAAGCACUCUGCUUCUUAUGGAGUUGGGAUCAAGGCUAUGCCAAAUGCUGUAUCGGGGUCUAAUCAGAAGAAGUUCCUUAUCUUCGACCAGUCUGGUGAUCAAACAAGAAUGUUCCUUACUCCUCCCAGUGCUCCUGUGCCGAAUCCUGUUAUUACACCUAUAAAACCCCUCAUUUCAGUGAUUUGAGUGACCAAAAACAGGCAACUAAUGUGGAGGAAAAACAUCUAGUCAAGUCCAUUAUACAAGAAAAAUCAUAUGAGAAUCACGUGCUUGAUGGAAGCGAGAUGCGUGAAGACACAGAAGAAAUUAAUGCCUUGCUUUAUUCUGAUGAUGAUGAUAAUGAUGGGGGUGGUGAUGAUGAUGAGGACAAUGAAGUAACAAGCACGGGUCAUUUUCCACUAGAGAUUAGAGGAAGUUUCAAGAAACAUGAAUAUGUUGGGGAAAUAAUUGAGGAAGUUGCCAAUUGUGUUGGCCCAACUAAAAGGCAGAGACUGCUUGAUGGUGGGUACAUACAACAAAUCUUUAUUCAUAAAUGUUGCAAGUUCAUCGAAACAGGGUAGAUCCCGGAGGGAUGGUAAUAACACGGAGACAAGUUGUGUUAAAGGCAGGAACCAAGAUGAGGAUACAGGGGUUCCACCCUAGGCAAUAAGCAGUCAAGGAAGAUUUAAAUUCGCGAGACAUUGAGAGCUGUCAAGAGCAUAGUUCUAGGCAUAAAGAGCAAGGACAAAACCAUUGUUGAUUAUUGAUGAAGCUAUUAUUUUCUUGAAGUGUUUGAAGCACAAGGCCAAAACUUUAGGGGGUUUAGCCACCCUCAAGUUGCAGCCCUUCCUUCAGGACAGCAACUUUGUUUUUCAUGUUAAAUGAAUUUUCUUUUUUCUUCUAAAUUUUGGUAAAUCAGUUACAUGUAAAUAUAAUGUUUUAAACACGCGCACACUUGCAUAUAUCGAUGGCAGAGUUCUAUGGUUAUUUUGCAUAUAUCGAUGGCAGAGUUCUAUGGUUAUUACUUCUUAUUGACUUGGAGAAUUUAUCCCUCCUACUGUGCAGGAUGGGAUUAAGACGUACUGGAAAUGCAAGUGGGACAGGUUGCUCGGUUACGGGAGGAUGACGGAGAUGUAACAAAACAAGAAGAUGAUGAGCCAGGAGAGCUACAUUCGUCACAGGAUCGUGAAAGCUGAAGAAGCUACAGAGGGAGAAUCGCCACAAGGAGAUGACCUAUGUAAUGUACCGGUUCCUAGCAGGAGAUGCACCACAGAAUCUGAGCAUGGUGGAUUUGAAUGACGUGGGCUGGUUGCUUGAUCAGAAUAUCAAAGAUACUCAAACCAAGAUUGAGGCUGCCAAGAGAGAACAAAAUGUGUCCCAAGGAAUGAUGGCUGUGGUGAAUGAGGUGCCGAAGACGAGCAGAGAUCAAAAUGGUGUUGCAGAAGGGAUGAGGAUGGUUGCAGCUGCAGAUUAGGGCAUGAUGAAUCCUGUGCAGGAUUAUGAGUGGUACAUGGAUCUGCUGAGUCCUGAUGUGAAUGUGUCCCGGUAACAGUCCUAUUAGCUAUGGAUGUUGUCAUCUGAGCAACCAUAUGCAACUAUAUCCAUGGUGUUUAGUAUUGUACUUUGUCAUACAUGGUUAAGGUUAUCUUUACGUACUUGUGAACUCUUGUGAACUCCGAGUAGCAGGAAAAAAUGUCAUGGAUUGUGUGGCACUGAAUUUGUUGUUGUUGAAAUGGAUUUCCAAUCAUAUUAAUUUGGUUAUGUUGGUUUUAGGUUUUACUAUUAUCGUUGUGUCAAUCUUGAUGUUUGGAGUAAUUGAAACGGAAAGAAAACAAAAUAUGACGAAAUUAAAUUGAAGAUAUUAUUCGUUGACAUA